UAUCUACGUCAUAAAAGCUGACCUCGACAAUCUUGUUCGGUGUACGCAAGAGGAGUAUGGUUUUCAAGAGCGAUGUGCAUCGGAAAGUGAGACUAUCCCAUCAAGUGUAGCCAGGUAUUCUAGAGCUAUCCACGGGGCUGCCACAAAAGCACAGGGGCCUCCACACGACGGCCAUUCACUGUGUGGACACUGUACUGCACACGUACACACCCGACACCAUGUAUUACGAGGCACGACUCACACUAUCAAGAGGAAAUCGGCGAUUUCAGAUUUUCUGGAGAGAAAAACACUGCCACUUGCCGGACACCCGCGUCACCAUUCGUCGGAAGAUCCUAUGUCAUCUUUCUUCGCGGCGGACGCGUGCACAUCGCGGCAAGUCAGAGCCUCUACUCGCGCGAGUGGUAUCGGGAAAAGCUCGAGUCCAGAAAAUUCUCGAUUCGGUUGCGAAGCUCGCCGUCUCACGGUCACCGGCUUUUCUGAAAUGAUUUUCGGGGAAAUCAAAUGAUCUGGUAACGAAAAUCUCUUUUGGAAAUUGACAAGAGCGAAGGUUGGUACCCCAUGAUCGAGCUGGAGGUGGUUAGGGGAUGUCUGGUGCUCUCGAGAGGGCAAGGAACUCUACUGCUUCGACAAAUAAACGGUUCGAUAAACAAAAUGAUUUUUACAAUUAAAAAACGUCGGAACGUAAUCGGGAAGGACGAUGAUGAAAGGAUAUUAACGAAGAAUAUACACUUAUCCGUUUUUGAAGAAUUACCUGAAUGGGUAUUCGAUGUUAGCGAACAACUUUGAAACACUACAAACUAAAAAAUGAGAGAUGCAAUAAAAAUAACGUAACUGAUAAAAACUUGACUCGUUUUUCGAACAUACGGCUGCGCGACAAGCGAGCUUCGUCGGUGACAGCGACAGACUGCGUGCCGUGAGACGCCGGUUGAACGAGCGAACGAACCGAUGGACGACGGAACGUGGACAGAAGGAACGGAGGAACGAGCGGAACGACGGAACGAAGCUUGCACCUUCGGUCUCGAAAACGAUCAACCGCGAGCUGCAUUCGAGUUCCAGACGCGACAGGGUUCGCAUCAUCUACCUCCCUAUGUUUUCAGGAAACUCGAACAAUGUAGAAGAAGAAUUUUCUAGCUCUUAGACCAAUGUUUUCUAAAGAAAAAUCCUAGAAUGUAGACUAUACCUCUCAAAUACGAGCGCUCGCAGGCUAGCUAUCCACCGGAGAGAUGCCGUCAGACCCUGAUGGGGAUACAGACGGAACCAGAUGCAUUCAACCGGUAUUGCUGCACAACUCGUGUGCACGUAUUUGGCCGUACACGAUGUCGGUACGCCCUGCAACACGAAUUUUCUAACAAGUCGACCGUACCACUUACAACGGAGCAGGCCAAUAUGUUGCACAUCAAAGAAGCUGAACAACGACGCUUAAUUCGUAAGCAGGAGAAUGAACAACGUGUUGGAAGAGCAACGUGUAGCAACUGAAAAUGGUCAAGAGGAAUGUUUAUAGCUGUGGGCCGACACGCGAUGAAUUCAGCAUGAGGGGCACAUAAAAACGCGGGGGCGUUCACGCAUCAACGGUAACGACGUGUGACGAGAGCGUUUCACUCUUUCCCUGCGAUUUGCAGUUCUAAAAAUUUCUCAUACUACUUUCUAAAUUAGAGAUUCCUACAUUAGGUAAACUCUGCAAAUAGCGAAACCUUGUACAUAACCGUUUCCCUGAGUAUAGUGGUACAGCAACGUCCGUCAGCACAGGGGUCUCGAGCAUGCACCUUGGCGCGACUAGACGAGCCAGAGACAACGAGAAGCGGCCUUCGACAACCUCAACCUAGCUACAGACGUGUGGCUGUUCGUGUGUGCACGUGCUCUCCACGUACGCGUUUCAGCGCGGAAAAAAGCGAUGCAGAACACCGUCUCGAGGCACCAGUCGAGUCAUAAAUUGUAAAUCGUGCUUCCUAUUUUAAAACGGAGAUCACGUAAAAUCCUCGGCAACUUCAUAGUCACGAUCAUGAAUCGAAUUUCCAUCUCAUUUUCUAUGCGGCGUCUCGGUUGCUUCGGAUAUGGAUUUUAAUUGUUGACUUCUGUGAUGUUGGUUCAUGAAUGAUACGAUUAUGAGUAUUCAUUGACUGGGAAAAGUGGUAAACAAUGACGAAGAACGGAAACGUGGUAUGCACCUGUCCAGCACACAGGAAGCAGGGUUGAAAAAUGCGAUUCUUUUGCAAAGUUGAACGAUUCGCGAGAGAAAAGGACACGCACACCUGCGUAAACUACGAUGCAGGUGUACUCGUGUGCACUUCACACGCACACCGUUGUACUCCUUUGUGAGCCUCCACUGAGGUAGAAUAAUUCACUUUUUCUCGGCUAGACAGAGCAGAGACGGUAGAUGUCUAUACUGGAAUCAAGCUCGAUAGAACUCAUUCCAGGAAUAACUAAGAGCGAUGUUUAACCGUAACGACGAAAUUAAAAGCUUCGGAUUGUUGAAUAGGGAAAAGGAUCCUCUGCCAGUGAAGUGUUACUUUGAGAACGUAUGAGCUUUGGAAUAACAAUGCAAACGGGUUUCGCCCGAUAAUGCAAUGCCGAAAAGAAGGUCAAUGGAAAAGUUGCAACGACAAAAGCAGUGGUGCAACGUACCGGCGUCGACCAUCGAGAGGGGAAAUGUAUAAAGAGUGGGUCGGACUAAAAGGCCAUAUCGGAAAAAUUCUCAUUUAGCCCCUGGCCAAUGAAAGACCAGGUGGAUCCUCGUGAAAAACAGGGCCACGCCUGUCAACUUCGGGAGACCUUAGAAAACAGGCCAAUGGAGAAGGGCUCGAAUACAUCUGCAUCCGGGAAUUAAGACGUAUCGAGCCACUGCACAAAACUGAAAGUACAGUACAUUAGCUUAUAAAAUAUUUCGAACGCUUAUAAUAUUUAAAACAGAUGCUUCUCGAAAUUAAAUUUCAAACUUCAAGCACUGUAGGCUGUGAAAUUUUUGAAGCUAAUGUUUCAAGCUCGAAAUGUCUCAAACUUGAUACGAUCCAAGUUUGGAACAUUUCAAAAACUUCCACGCAGCUUUGAGAAGCUGGCGACCAUGGAAGACAGAAAAAAGAAUAAUACCUUGACGUACAACUAUCGGUAGAAAUCUUCAAAGGCCUCCGCCCAAAGGAAAAUCCAGAGAACAAGGAUUGGCGAUGACAGGAAGGUAGCAAAAUGUUCGAGACAAACGGGUAAUCGGAAAGAAGCAGCCAGGUAAUGUGUUCUGAAAGCAGUAAUAAAAUAUCAGGCUACAAAUGCUCGUACACGUUCGCAGUUAAAGGAGAAGAAAUGUGCCGUCUAUAAAAAUGGUCGAGAUAAAGAGAACGGUGAAGACAAAGAGAAACUGAAAAGGAACAGACGGGAGGGAGAGGAAGAAAAGGGAGAGAGAAAACCUUGGCCCACAGGCCUACUGCAGCGCUGCAGCUUGCUUGCACUCUGGCUCUGCCACUCUACCAUUCAUGUGGGAAACACCCUAGUAUCCACCGUGGGGUUGGGCCAACAACCGCUGGAAAAAUUUCUCUUUCGAUGCACUGCAACGGCCCCGCCCCGAACAUCGCCAAAGGGGAAGAAAAGUUUCAGUGGAACGAUGCUGGAUGGCCAGACAUAGACAACUGCAAUGUCUACCGAAACCUGCCUCUUGAAGAUGGUUCCGUGGAAAACGCCCGAAAAUUCCCAUUCCGGAAUAUUCGAAACCUAAUGAAAACGUAGCAACAAUGGAAUAGGGGGUGUUCAUAUACUUUCGUGUGUCAAGUAUUUAAAUACUUACAAUAAAUCAAUGUUAACAUCGAAUAAUUCUAAGCAAUCGAUAAGUCCUCUUUGAUUGAUCCUCGAUUGAAAAAAUGUAAUGGCGUAUAACGAACAUUUUGGCGGGCUGUAAAAAAUUGCCGCCAGAGGGCCAGCGCGGGUGUAAGAUAAAUACUUGUGAAUCACGUUUACUAAAUUAUUUUGAGAAUAUAUACUGCUUUCUUUAUUUUAUUUUUAUACUGCUUUUUAUUAUUUUAUUUCGUUAGAAGAAAAUGGUAUUACCUUCUCGAGAUAGGUACAACAGAUAAUACCCAUGAUGCAUGCAGUGCGAAUGGUUACGUACGCAUUUAUUGACACUGAGAUUCGCCACAUGACUUUGAUCUGCGAUUCGUGAUCUUGCACGCCUAACCUAGGCCACUCGAUCUUCUCUUUUUUCUGUAACCUCGCAUGACCGAAUAGGCUGAUAAUAUUCUGCACAUUUAAAUUUCUUCGACGCUAUUCCUUGCACGCGAAUAAAUACGAGAAACGGAGAUGACGGGAAGAAGAUCGAUAAAUGUAUCGAUUUUUAGUAACACCAGCGACAUCUCGAUUAUUUUGGAGGGAAUGAUACAUUUGAUUUUCGAUAAAAUUGUAAGGGAGGAAAAGUACUCGAAUGGUUAGAAUAUGUAUGAUCAAAACCGGAUAUGAAGAUAAAUAUUCAAGUAUCUGAAUUCAAGUUUUCUUUUGUGAUUACUCAGAUACGAAACUUUUCUUGUAGUAUUUUUUUUUAAUUCCACUCGAGCUUACUCUUAUCUACUAGUGAUAAAAAUUUGCUGUAGAACAGUAAAAUGGCAACAACGAUUGUAAUUCUGACCUAUAGUCAAGCAGUUAGCAAACAGCUGGUAUUUUUUAGCACUAUUACUGAAUAUACGUUCGAGUCUUCAAUCGCAAAAAGUCACGAUUAUCGAUAUUUUGCAAAAGUCAAAAUCGAUCGUAUCUUCUAAUCGACGUACGGUUAGUUUCGGUUACUGAAUCGAGAUAAAGUUCUAGAAGUUCGAACUGUCAAAAUCGCUGGCUAUCGAUACUCGAAUUACUUUACUUCCAUAUCUCGAAAUACGUUACUAACUACGUUCUAACUGAUAAAGAUAUUAAUAUAAAUAAAUUCAUAUUGUUAAUACAGUUUAAAUAUUAUUUAACGUCACAUGGUGUUAAUUUUUCAUCAGUCACUUUCAGAAUUAAUUCACGAGUUAUAUACUGAACUUGAUCUUGUUCUUGGUCGUCAUUCAUCAAGAACAUGUGCCAGAGAAUUGUGUAGCGCAAGAAACAGCGAAAGUGUGAAUUCUAAUAUUUACCUCCUAAUGAAUCCGUUCGAAACAGGAACAUCGCCGCAUCCUAGGGAUUUCUGCUGAACGUAGAAAUUCAUGAAGAAGAAAAACAGCGGGAGUAAAGAACGUGGUAAUGUAUGUAAGUAUAUAUCCUAUAUUUAUCGGACACCGUUCGUUUGUACGUCAGGUCGCCGCUCCCUGAGAGAUCACUGCCCUCACGCACACCCGGUGUCUUUUCUCGUUCCUUUGGCCGAUCGACGUCGGGUGUCCCUCUGCUCCGACGACGGGGGCCAGGGAUGUAUCGCGAAAUUGACGGACCCGUCGCGAAUAACCCGCCGCGCGAAACAUCUCAAUUCCAAAUCGUUUAAUGAAUACACUUCGUAGCAAUUGCACAAUUUCCGUUUUAUCGCAAACAUCUCUCUAAAAACGAGAGAAGGUACACACGAAAUCGGAACGAGAAAAAAUUUAUCGAGGUAGUGAUGGGAUUGAUUAAAAAAUAUCUUAAUCAAUGAAGAUAGACUGGAUUAAUUUUUUACGAAUUACUUAACUGGAAUAUAGAAUAAAUGGAAAAAUACUGCCACUAUUGUAAUUAUCUUUGAACCAUGGAACUGGAAUAUAUUUUUCGAAAUGUGAUUACGAAGAGAACAGUCGAUAAGAACAUGUCUAAUUGUAGUUGACAAGGAAAUAUAUUUUUUUUAAAUGUUAAGUAUCGUUCGUCGAGAUAUCGUUCCCAUCACUACUCUAUUAACUUCCCUUCCUCGAAUCUGAAUUUCGAGACUAUCGAGCUGUCUCGAUGAUCCGGCGACGAAUAACCACCAAAUGUAACGAUCACUCGCGAACUUCCUUCGUGAACGGUUGAAAAUAAUUUCGAAAAAUCAACCACGAUCUCGAACGAUACACGAGGAACUUUUUAUCGUAAACGGUUGGAUUUAUGUUUUGACGUAGUGCACUAAUCCGUUCGCGAGUUAAAUUUGCCCGGUAAUUGUAUUUGUUGCACGCGCACUGUGUCUCACAUGGGUGCUUGUUCUGCGUGUCCUCGCGAAUUCGCGGCACACGGACUGCUACUUCCCGAUUGCAAAAACCCCUUCUUUCCGCGCACAGAAAGACUGAGGGAUCUAGAAACCCUACCCCCCAGGGCACGCGUACGUGUAUGCGAGUUUGCACGUCUAGCGCACACCACGAUAAACGCGACACGUAUGUACAAAGGGGAAACGACGUGCAGGAGCCGGCAACCAGACAACCAUUCCCAUUCUCUUGAUAGAACGCGUGGCAACUAGUCGAAUGAGCGCAAAGUCGCCAUCUGUAUCGCGAUUCUGGCAUUAUGAUUUUCGCAAAUUGACCGGCAAAUGCAAUCACGUCCCUGAUCAAACGAAAUGCGCAUGCGCACGCGUGCGUUGGAAAUUCAAACAUUCUUGAUCUGCCGCGAAUUUUAAACAGGUACGUGGUUUAUUAAUACACACUAUCUUCUGCCAUUCAUCCUAAUAGUGUAAAUGUUGGAACCUUGAUAUAAUUUCUAAUUAAAUCUGAAAUGUUCUAAAAUGGAUAGUAUCUUUGGUCUUAAUAGGUAUGUAUGAUUGUCUUACUAACCUAAAGGUUAUUUUCACUAUACAUUGAAAUAAGAGUGGUAUACCAGAAUAAUAUUAUUUUACCUAUAUUAUGUUAAUUUAGAUUAGAUCUACUUAUAUUCGAUAAAGGUUAGAUCAUUAACCAUCGGAGAAGACAGGCUUAACUAUUAAUACUUUUAUACAACAGAAACGCGUAUUGAACAUGACACGUAGUAAUAUAACAUAAAGUAUUAAGAUAGGUCAAUCAGGCUCAGUGCAAAUAAACAUCAUUCACCGGAAUGGAGUAAGUUGCAUAUUAUAAGUAAUGAAAUUAUUUAUGCAAUGUAUCUACUGUUUCAAAAUACCGGAACUAACCCGCGCUUUUUUCAGGACUGACAAAUCACAUGUGUCAAAUAUUCUGAUUGGUUAACGUUACAUCACAAUAUGGCUUCCUGUAACGUUCUUUUACGAUUGAACGAUCAUCGGCUUAGUUGAAAUCAGUAAGAAACUUUGCAUCGACACAUAAUCUAUUGAUACGAAUAAGCUUUGUUGUUUUUGAAGAAUUUAUUUAAUCAAGCAUGUUAUUUAAGACCGAUUCGUAUUUCCAUAAAAGACAACGCUGCAAAUCCAUAAUUCCCACCGAUAUUAUGUCCCAUUUUAGUUGGACAGUACAUAUUUUAUUCGAUGAUAAAAACCUAGGAUCAUUGGUUGAUGGUCUUCCAGGUAACUGUCUGAUACAAUCGAUUUAUUAACAUUGAUAUCUUUGUUUUUCAGCAGAGGAAAACGGAGAUCGUACGACGCUUGAUAUAAGAAAGAAAAAUAUUUCAGCUGUUCGGAUUUUUCCCUUAAUCUUUGUUAUUUUUAUUGGUAUUUCGCUUUUGAAAAGGAUACGGAUAACGAGAAUCUUCGGAAACUUUUGUAUACUGAAGCUUUUGGUACACUU